rnacentral:tRNA from 1 species
GUGGUGUAGCGGUUAGCACUCAGGACUCUUAAUCCUGCGAGGGGAGUUCAAAUCGCCCC